GGAGAGAUGGCCGAGUAGGUCGAAGGCGCUCGCCUGCUAAGCGAGUAGACGGGAAUAAACCUGUCUCGAGGGUUCGAAUCCCUCUCUCUCCGCCA
rnacentral:tRNA from 1 species